rnacentral:rRNA from 1 species
CCUACGGGAGGCAGCAGUGGGGAAUAUUGGGCAAUGGAGGAAACUCUGACCCAGCGACGCCGCGUGCGGGAUGAAGGCCUUCGGGUUGUAAACCGCUUUCAGCAGGGAAGAAGCGAAAGUGACGGUACCUGCAGAAGAAGCACCGGCUAACUAUGUGCCAGCAGCCGCGGUAAUACAUAGGGUGCAAGCGUUGUCCGGAAUUAUUGGGCGUAAAGAGCUCGUAGGUGGUUCGUCACGUCGGAUGUGAAAAUCUGGGGCUUAACCCCAGACCUGCAUUCGAUACGGGCGAGCUUGAGUAUGGUAGGGGAGUCUGGAAUUCCUGGUGUAGCGGUGGAAUGCGCAGAUAUCAGGAGGAACACCAAUGGCGAAGGCAGGACUCUGGGCCAUUACUGACACUGAGGAGCGAAAGCGUGGGGAGCGAACAGGAUUAGAUACCCUGGUAGUCCACGCCGUAAACGGUGGGCACUAGUUGUGGGGACCUUCCACGGUCUCUGCGACGCAGCUAACGCAUUAAGUGCCCCGCUGGGGAUACGAUCGCAAGNUUAAAACUCAAAUGAAUUGAGGCUGAGAGNGCGAGACGACGACGAGGAGAGG